UAUGAAACGCUGUCCGCAGCUGGAGUAUUUUAUUACCCUUGUCUUUUGCGCACUUGUUGUUUCCUGGGCGGGUUCGCUCGCCACCAGGACCACCAAAUAAACCUUUUUUAUGCAGUUGCAAUCAGCGUCAGUACAAACAAUGUAAAUCAUUUACAACUUUCAACAACGGAUCUCUUGGUUCUGGCAUCGAUGAAGAACGCAGCGAAAUGCGAUACGUAGUGUGAAUUGCAGAAUUCAGUGAAUCAUCGAAUCUUUGAACGCACAUUGCGCCCUUUGGUAUUCCAAAGGGCAUGCCUGUUCGAGCGUCAUUUGUACCCUCAAGCUUUGCUUGGUGUUGGGCGUUUUUGUCUUUGGUCGCCCAAAGACUCGCCUUAAAGUGAUUGGCAGCCGGCCUUUCUGGUUUCGCAGCGCAGCACAUUUUUGCGCUUGCCAUCAGCAAAACGGCAAUCCAUCAAGCCUCCUUCUCACGUUUGACCUCGGAUCAGGUAGGGAUACCCGCUGAACUUAAGCAUAUCAAUAAGCCGGAGGA
rnacentral:rRNA from 1 species